UAGUUAUAACUGAUUUUAUUGACAGGGUACAACAGGUGUACACGAACUAGAAAUGUAUGAAGAAACACAUGACAUUGUCUUUUUCUUGUUAAAAGGCGCAAUCAGAAUCUGCUUUUUCCAGAUCAGCACGAUCCUGGCUCAAAUCAACUUUAAGGAAAAUAAGUUCGCUGGAAACUGUAGAGUAUCAAUAUACCCUUUGGCUAUUGUUGGUGAUCUCCAACCCCCAUGUCUUUUCAACGUGGUUAUAUCUGCCUCAGAGUCCACUAACAACGUAGUAGAUCUACAAAAAUGCCCAGUAAAUGCGUGUGGGUAUGGUAAUUUUGAAAUUAUGCAACUUAUUUGUAAUUUUUCCAAAUAUAUGGAUACCAAGCCGUUU